UUAAUGGAGAGUUUGAUCCUGGCUCAGGACGAACGCUGGCGGCGUGCCUAAUACAUGCAAGUCGAGCGAGGGUCUUCGGACCCUAGC
rnacentral:rRNA from 2 species